GUUUGAUGCAAGUCAACUUAGGGUUGUGGGGUUCUAUGUGGUUUAUAAAGACUAAUAAACUCUAUCUUUCCUAAGGUAAUUAUCUUUGAAAAGUUUGUUAGGGGCUAAGAUCCAACAACUGGUAUCAAAGCGAGAUUGUAGGUUCGAAAUCCGACAGACCUUUCGAGUGUCGUUAGGGGGGAGAUUAUUGGUCAUGUGCCAGCACACACACGGUGGGACCUA
rnacentral:lncRNA from 1 species